CAACCCUGGGUUCAAAUUCAGAUUCCCUCGCAGUAUUUGAACUUGAAUAAUUCACAUAAAACUCUGAACACCAGUUCCUCCUUGGAGAUGAGACUAAUACAUGGAAACCCCACAGCGUUACGGUUAGCAUUAGAAGAGAUCACCAAGGGAAAGUAUGUUGCAACCUCCAUGCAACGCGCUCCAGAAAUAUAUGACCUCUAGAUUGGUGGAUAGAUAGUACUUUUAAGCUCCUAGUUCAGCUCCAGGCAUAAAAUUGGAACUCAGAAAAAGUUCUAAAUGAAUCACAAAGAGAAGUUUCAAGCCGCUGGGUCAUACUGCCCCCUGGUGGUAGCCAAGAAACGUGCAGCGUCUCUGGCCUCCUGGGUAUUCUUGGAGCUGAUUGGGUAAGAUCAGGGUGGGCUGGGAACUCAGGGAAACCCAAGGUUCCCUCCCCAAGGGGCUCUUCCUUCUCACCUAAACACACAUAUUAUCCCCGGAUAUUCCUCAGCUUCAAUUCUUCGUUCCAAAAGGGCUGCUCUCCUUUCCAUAUGCCUUUCUCUUACCGCUUCUGCUGAUGCUGUUCUACUUCCCCACCGGUGGCUCAUCCAAACUCUAAAUCUCCUUCAGACCCGCUCAAAUCUCACCUCCUCCAGGAGGCCUCCCUGCAACCCACCAGCCAGGCUCUCCCUCAGCCUUUCUUAAACCUCUACAGAACUCACAGCCUGUACUUAAUUACAUGUUGUGUGCAGUUCUCUCCAAACUUUGAUUCCUUGAAUCAAAUUUCCUGGUUUUCUUAAUGUUUCCCUCAGUCUUCAGAGCAUGAACUGAAGAGAUGGUCCCGGUUCCUUAAAAGCUAUAUACGUUUCUGAGUGCCUAGGUACAGCAUGCUUAGAUAUAUGGGCCAGGUGCAGCACUGGGUACUUGUACAAACAUGCCUUCAAUCCUCAUGAUAAUUCUAAUGCAACUCUACUGCCAAUUACAUAUUUCAAUUUGUAGAGAAAAAACUGAGCCUCAGAAAGGUUAAGUAACUUGGUUAAAGUCACACGGCUACUAAGUGGUAGAGUAUGGGUUUGAGCCCAUGUGUGCCUAAUUACAAAUCCACAGAAUAAAUUCUGUCUCCCAUGCCAACUCUUCUCAAUGAUCAGCACCUGCCUGGCAUAGUGACUUGGGAAGGAAUUCAGAACACCGGGGCUUAGAGGGUUAAGUGGUGAAUUUGAUUAGUAAUGUCUGUCAUGCGUAAGAAAUGGAGAAUGGUGACACACAAGCUUUGUAUUUGCCAUCCAUUCUCUACCCCAUGCUGGAUGGGUCUAUAGGAGGAUAAUCCAUCUCAUUCUGGACAUAGAUUUAAGAAAGCAUGAGAACCUGUUUCAGGAGCUGCUGCCUCUCUCACUGCCAUGUGUGCAGCUGAUGAAAACCCUCCACGCACAACCUGAAACAUCCUGCCUCUCCCUGCGGACAGCUUGCUCCUCUGAUUCUCUGUCAUGCUCUGAGCUGGACUCCCAAGGUCACUGUCGCAUGCUGAAGUGUGUGCUCCAAAAUUCAUGUGUUGGAGUCCUACUGUCCAGUACCUGAGAAUGUGACUGUAUUUGGAGAUAUGGUCUUCAAGAGGUAAUGAAGGUGAAAUGUGGUCUUUGCUGGGGGUCCUAAUCCAGUAUGACUGGUCUCCUUGUAAGAAGAGGAGACAAGGACACAGGCAUGCACAGAGGAAAGACCACAUGAAAACAUUGCCACCUACAACCAAAGGAGAGAGGCUUCUGAAGAAAUUGACUCUGCCAACACCUUGAUCUUAGACUUUUAACCUCCAGAAGUGUGAGAAAAUUAAUUUCUGUCAUGUAAGCCAUCCAGUGCAUAGUACUAUGGCAACCCUAGCAGAUUAAUACAGGGUCAACUUCAUUCUUUUGCAUGCAUCUAUCCACAUGUCCCAAAAUCAUUUGUUGAAAAGACCAUUCUUUCCCCCA